rnacentral:rRNA from 1 species
GAGACCGGCGCACGGGUGCGUAACGCGUAUGCAAUCUACCUUUUACAGGGGAAUAGCCCAGAGAAAUUUGGAUUAAUGCCCCAUAGUAUAUAAUAAUCGCAUGGUUUUUAUAUUAAAGUUCCAACGGUAAAAGAUGAGCAUGCGUCCCAUUAGUUAGUUGGUAAGGUAACGGCUUACCAAGACUAUGAUGGGUAGGGGUCCUGAGAGGGAGAUCCCCCACACUGGUACUGAGACACGGACCAGACUCCUACGGGAGGCAGCAGUGAGGAAUAUUGGACAAUGGGCGCAAGCCUGAUCCAGCCAUGCCGCGUGCAGGAAGACGCAUCUAUGGUGUGUAAACUGCUUUUGUACAGGAAGAAACACUCCCUCGUGAGGGAGCUUGACGGUACUGUAAGAAUAAGGAUCGGCUAACUCCGUGCCAGCAGCCGCGGUAAUACGGAGGAUCCAAGCGUUAUCCGGAAUCAUUGGGUUUAAAGGGUCCGUAGGCGGUUUAAUAAGUCAGUGGUGAAAGCCCAUCGCUCAACGAUGGAACGGCCAUUGAUACUGUUAGACUUGAAUUAUUAGGAAGUAACUAGAAUAUGUAGUGUAGCGGUGAAAUGCUUAGAUAUUACAUGGAAUACCAAUUGCGAAGGCAGGUUACUACUAAUGGAUUGACGCUGAUGGACGAAAGCGUGGGGAGCGAACAGGAUUAGAUACCCUGGUAGUCCACGCCGUAAACGAUGGAUACUAGCUGUUGGAAGCAAUUUCAGUGGCUAAGCGAAAGUGAUAAGUAUCCCACCUGGGGAGUACGUUCGCAAGAAUGAAACUCAAAGGAAUUGACGGGGGCCCGCACAAGCGGUGGAGCAUGUGG